CUACGGGGGGCUCCAGUGAGGAAUAUUGCACAAUGGGGGGAACCCUGAUGCAGCAACGCCGCGUGGAGGAUGACGCAUUUCGGUGUGUAAACUCCAUUUAUAUGUCAAGAAAAUGACGGUAGCAUAUGAAUAAGCACCGGCUAACUCCGUGCCAGCAGCCGCGGUAAUACGGAGGGUGCAAGCGUUACUCGGAAUCACUGGGCGUAAAGGACGCGUAGGCGGGCUUGUAAGUCAGGUGUGAAAUCCUACAGCUUAACUGUAGAACUGCACUUGAAACUACGAGCCUAGAGUAUGGGAGGGGGAGAUGGAAUUAGUGGUGUAGGGGUAAAAUCCGUAGAUAUCACUAGGAAUACCUAAAGCGAAGGCGAUCUCCUGGAACAUAACUGACGCUAAGGCGUGAAAGCGUGGGGAGCAAACAGGAUUAGAUACCCGCGUAGUC
rnacentral:rRNA from 1 species